AGGGAAACCGAGUCUUAACUGGGCGUUAAGUUGCAGGGUAUAGACCCGAAACCCGGUGAUCUAGCCAUGGGCAGGUUGAAGGUUGGGUAACACUAACUGGAGGACCGAACCGACUAAUGUUGAAAAAUUAGCGGAUGACUUGUGGCUGGGGGUGAAAGGCCAAUCAAACCGGGAGAUAGCUGGUUCUCCCCGAAAGCUAUUUAGGUAGCGCCUCGUGAACUCAUCUUCGGGGGUAGAGCACUGUUUCGGCUAGGGGGUCAUCCCGACUUACCAACCCGAUGCAAACUGCGAAUACCGAAGAAUGUUAUCACGGGAGACACACGGCGGGUGCUAACGUCCGUCGUGAAGAGGGAAACAACCCAGACCGCCAGCUAAGGUCCCAAAGUCACAGUUAAGUGGGAAACGAUGUGGGAAGGCUCAGACAGCCAGGAUGUUGGCUUAGAAGCAGCCAUCAUUUAAAGAAAGCGUAAUAGCUCACUGGUCGAGUCGGCCUGCGCGGAAGAUGUAACGGGGCUAAACUGUGCACCGAAGCUGCGGCAGCGACGCUUAUGCGUUGUUGGGUAGGGGAGCGUUCUGUAAGCCUGCGAAGGUGUCCUGUGAGGGAUGCUGGAGGUAUCAGAAGUGCGAAUGCUGACAUAAGUAACGAUAAUGCGGGUGAAAAGCCCGCUCGCCGGAAGACCAAGGGUUCCUGUCCAACGUUAAUCGGGGCAGGGUGAGUCGACCCCUAAGGCGAGGCCGAAAGGCGUAGUCGAUGGGAAACGGGUUAAUAUUCCCGUACUUGGUGUUACUGCGAAGGGGGGACGGAGAAGGCUAUGUUGGCCGGGCGACGGUUGUCCCGGUUUAAGCGUGUAGGCUGGUUUUCCAGGCAAAUCCGGAAAA
rnacentral:rRNA from 1 species